rnacentral:misc_RNA from 1 species
CCCCCACACUCAAGUCUCUUAAUUGAAGCUUGGAUCAUUUUAAAGAAGUAGCUGAAAUACAAUAGGCUACUCUUUAGAAAUUCAUAGGCAGUAUGGCACCUGAACUAGGCGUAAUAAGAAUAUAAAAGCGUCUCUCUUUAGGAAGGUUGUACUUGCCUCAACCCACCCAUUUUCUCUUUU